rnacentral:rRNA from 1 species
GGUGGGUGCCUUGGCACCAGGAGCCGAUGAAGGACGUGGGAGGCUGCGAUAAGCCUCGGGGAGCUGUC